CUUUACACAUGCAAGUCGUACGAGAGUUUNUAACUCAAGUGGCGGACGGGUGAGUAACACGUAAGAAUUUACCUUUAGGAGGGGGAUAACAACUGGAAACGGUUGCUAAUACCCCAUAUGCUUUCGAGUGAAAUGGAUUUUUCCGCCUAGAGAGAAGCUUGCGGCUGAUUAGCUUGUUGGUGAGGUAAUGGCUCACCAAGGCGACGAUCAGUAUCUGGUUUGAGAGGACGAUCAGACACACUGGAACUGAGACACGGUCCAGACUCCUACGGGAGGCAGCAGUGGGGAAUUUUCCGCAAUGGGCGAAAGCCUGACGGAGCAAUACCGCGUGAGGGAUGACGGCCUAUGGGUUGUAAACCUCUUUUUUCAGGGAGGAAUCAAUGACGUGUACCUGAAGAAUAAGCAUCGGCUAACUCCGUGCCAGCAGCCGCGGUAAGACGGAGGAUGCAAGUGUUAUCCGGAAUCACUGGGCGUANAGCGUCUGUAGGUGGUUUAAUAAGUCAACUGGUUAAUCUCGAGGCCCAACCUCGAAAUCGCA
rnacentral:rRNA from 1 species